UACAGAGGGUGCGAGCGUUAAUCGGAAUUACUGGGCGUAAAGCGCGCGUAGGCGGUUUUUUAAGUCAGAGGUGAAAGCCCAGUGCUCAACACUGGAACUGCCUCUGAAACUGGAAAACUUGAAUCUUGGAGAGGUCAGUGGAAUUCCGAGUGUAGAGGUGAAAUUCGUAGAUAUUCGGAAGAACACCAGUGGCGAAGGCGACUGACUGGACAAGUAUUGACGCUGAGGUGCGAAAGCGUGGGGAGCAAACAGG
rnacentral:rRNA from 1 species